rnacentral:rRNA from 1 species
UACGGAGGGGGCGAGCGUUAUUCGGAAUUAUUGGGCGUAAAGGGCGCGUAGGCGGCUCUUUAAGUCAAAGGUGAAAUCCCUCGGCUCAACUGAGGAACUGCCUUUGAAACUGAGGAGCUUGAGUCCGGGAGGGGGUAGCGGAAUUCCCAGUGUAGCGGUGAAAUGCGUAGAUAUUGGGAGGAACACCAUUGGCGAAGGCGGCUACCUGGACCGGAACUGACGCUGAUGCGCGAAAGCGUGGGUAGCAAACAGG